rnacentral:rRNA from 1 species
GGAGCAUGUGGUUUAAUUCGAUGAUACGCGAGGAACCUUACCUGGGCUCAAAUGUAUGUUGACGUAUUCUGAAAGGGAUACUUCUUCGGACAAUAUACAAGGUGCUGCAUGGUUGUCGUCAGCUCGUGCCGUGAGGUGUCGGGUUAAGUCCCAUAACGAGCGCAACCCCUAUCAUUAGUUGCCAUCAGGUAAUGCUGGGGACUCUAAAGGAACUGCCUACGCAAGUAGUGAGGAAGCGGGGAUGACGUCAAAUCAGCACGGCCCUUACGUCCAGGGCUACACACGUGCUACAAUGGCCGAUACAGAGGGCAGCUACCUGGUGACAGGAUGCAAAUCUCCAAAGUCGGUCUCAGUUCGGAUCGGAGUCUGCAACCCGACUCCGUGAAGUUGGAUUCGCUAGUAAUCGCGCAUCAGCCAUGGCGCGGUGAAUACGUUCCCGGGCCUU